rnacentral:lncRNA from 10 species
AUUAGAAGAGGAACAAAGGACAUUGGGUCACAGUUUCUAAAAUAAACAUGAGCAUUAGGGCAUAUAUAAUAGCACAAUAUGAACCAAACUGAUAAAAAGCAGUGUCACAAUAUCUAUGAUAUACAUUUAUGGCUUAUAUGAAUUGAACAUUAACUUCAGUUUAAGGAUGCUUAGUCUUCAUUGUUCAUAGGGAAGAAGUCUUCACAGUUUCAAAGCCUAGAAUGAAAAUUGUGCAGGCCGGGCACGGUGGCUCACGCCUGUAAUCCCAGCACUUUGGGAGGCCGAGGCAGGCAGAUCACCUGAGGUCAGGAGUUCGAGACCAGCCUCAACAUGGAGAAACCCCGUCUCUACUAAAAAUACAAAAUUAACCGGGUGUGGUGGUGCAUGCCUGUAAUCCCAGCUACACGGGAGGCUGAGGCAGGAGAAUUGCUUGAAACUGGGAGACGGAGGUUGUGGUGAGCCAAGAUUGCGCCAUUGCACUCCAGCCUGGGCAACAAGAGCAAAACUCCGUCUCAAAAAAAAAAAAAAAAAUUGUGCUGGAGACGCCUAGACAGUCCCACAUGUGUAGAAUCGUCAUAAAAUUUCUUAAGGAGGAAAAAGUCAUUACUAACCUGUUCUCUCAUUUAGCCAGAUUGCUUUAAUUCAUAUCCUUUUUUCCUGCUUUAAUCAAUCAAGAAAACGCUCUCCUGCAGAUUCAGAGCUCAGAAGUGUACUCUUCCUUGCUCCUGUCCAUGCCCAAGCCUCUUGAUCUCUGGGGAAAAGGUUGACAUCUGAGGAGAUUUCUUUGUUUCACUUUGUUCCAGCAAACUGUUUGUAAUAGUCAGGCUUUUGACUGAAAUUUGAGUCUUCUUUCUGUCCCUUAGGUACUGUCUAAAAUUUUUCAGUGUUUUAAAAAAGAUUUCUAAUUAGUUGAGGGACCUCCAGGG